GAGUAUGCGCAGUUUCUAUUAGAUUGUAAUACAUUUGGAAGAUCUUUUUUAAAUCAUGGAUUUCAGGAUGCGCCUCACUAAUGAUGUAGCUAUUCUUCGCAAUAGAUACAUAAACAAGGUGAAAUAUCUCUGCUUUUAUGUAGCAGUUUUCAUUCAUUAGCUUACUCAAAUUAAAUGAAUUAAUUUUACUUGACUCUAAAAUCUUAUAAUACCCAGUUUCGAGAAGUGCUUUUCGGCAGUUCUUUGAAUGUGCAGAGCAUUUUUCAAACACUUUUGUAUCUCCGCUUGAGGAUAAUAAAACAAAACAAGUAUUAGAUGUUGAGUUUGAGAAUUCGUCAACUAAAGGCCAACAUUGAAUGUAACAAUAUACAUAUGAAACCGUACUUAUGGCUGGAAGACAUAUAGGAAUCCAAAAUUCAUUACUUAAAGUUUUUUUAUUUAGAAAGAUUGAUGUAAUAUUUUUUAAUAACGAGAAAUCUGUAGAUGGUAGAUUUUUAAUAUACUUUGAUCCAAACCAAGAGACCAAUUUUUUGGACUCGAACAAUAUUCCACCCAGUAUCUCUUCCAUUUUUAUUCC
rnacentral:antisense_RNA from 1 species